GACGGAGGGUGCUAGCGUUGUUCGGAAUGACUGGGCGUAAAGGGCGCGUAGGCGGUUUGUACAGUCAGGCGUGAAAUUCCUGGGCUCAACCUGGGGGCUGCGUUUGAUACGUGCAGACUUGAGUUCGGAAGAGGGUCGUGGAAUUCCCAGUGUAGAGGUGAAAUUCGUAGAUAUUGGGAAGAACACCGGUGGCGAAGGCGGCGACCUGGUCCGAUACUGACGCUGAGGCGCGAAAGCGUGGGGAGCAAACAGG
rnacentral:rRNA from 1 species